AACCUUAUGGACCUGCGGGCGUAUACCUGCGGAAGGAUCAUUACCAGUACCACCGUCGCCUCCGGGCGUCGGUCUACUACCAACCCUUUGUCAUCCGACCUCGUUGCCUCCGGGUGCGACCCUGACCUUCGGGUCUCGCGUCUCCCCGGGUGGACACACAUCAAAACUCUGCAUAACUUUGUAGUCUGAGUAAAACUUUUAAUUAAAUUAAAACUUUCAACAACGGAUCUCAGAUCGGAA
rnacentral:misc_RNA from 1 species